rnacentral:rRNA from 1 species
GUGUCAGCAGCCGCGGUAAUACGUAGGAUGCAAGCGUUGUCCGGAAUUACUGGGCGUAAAGGGCGAGCAGGUGGCAAGUCAAGUCUGAUGUAAAAUCUCCCGGCUUAACUGGGAGGGGCCAUUGGAAACUGGCUAGCUGGAGUGCAGGAGAGGCUAACGGAAUUCCCGGUGUAGUGGUGAAAUGCGUAGAUAUCGGGAGGAACACCAGUGGCGAAGGCGGUUAGCUGGCCUGUAACUGACACUGAGGCGCGAAGGCUAGGGGAGCGAACAGGAUUAGAUACCCUGGUAGUCC